AAGACGACGAGCCAACGAGAUAUUUUUUCUUACCGAAAUAUAGACGAGGAGCACUAAUCGUACAUGCUCACGUACGUACAGAUUUCCAGUCAAUACGGCUGAUGGCCUGCCGGCAUCACUGAUCACAAGGAAGAAAAUCUGCUCUCGCUGAUCACAAGGAGACGAGCUGCUCUCGCUGAUCCGAGGUGGACGUUAGGAAGACGUUUCGGACGGCGAUCACGUCAGGCAGUGAGGCGUUCAAUGCGAUCACUUCUGGCGGCGGCGAUGGGAAGAUGUUUCGGCGAGGCGGCGAGCCGCGAGCACAGCCUGCCGCGAUCCCGUUUUGCUACAGGCCACAGGCCCAGGUCGCUCGAGGCAACUAGGCCCACUGCCCAAACGCAC
rnacentral:lncRNA from 1 species